UACGUAGGGCGCGAGCGUUGUCCGGAAUUAUUGGGCGUAAAGAGCUCGUAGGCGGUCUGUCGCGUCGGCUGUGAAAACUCGGGGCUCAACCCCGAGCCUGCAGUCGAUACGGGCAGACUAGAGUGCUGUAGGGGAGACUGGAAUUCCUGGUGUAGCGGUGAAAUGCGCAGAUAUCAGGAGGAACACCGGUGGCGAAGGCGGGUCUCUGGGCAACAACUGACGCUGAGGAGCGAAAGCGUGGGGAGCGAACAGG
rnacentral:rRNA from 1 species